GCGCUCGCUACAGCAGCACAUACACUAAAAUUGGAACGAAUCAGAGAAGAUUAGCAGGGCCCUGUGCAAGGAUCACAUGCAAUUUCGUGAAGCAUUCCAUAUUUUU
ensembl:snRNA U6 U6 spliceosomal RNA